rnacentral:rRNA from 1 species
GUGAACGCUGGCGGCGUGCUUAACACAUGCAAGUCGAACGAUGAAGUCCCUCGGGAUGGAUUAGUGGCGCACGGGUGAGUAAUAUAUAGUUAAUGUGCCUCGAAGACUGGGAUAGCCACUGGAAACGGUGAUUAAUACUAGAUACACCUUUUUAACAUAAGUUAAAUCGGGAAAUGUCUUUUCGCUUCGAGAUCAGACUAUAUCCUAUCAGUUAGUUGGUGAGGUAAUGGCUCACCAAGGCAAUGACGGGUAGCGGUUCUGAGAGGAUGAUCCGCCACACUGGUACUGAGACACGGACCAGACUCCUACGGGAGGCAGCAGUGAGGAAUAUUGCACAAUGGGGGGAACCCUGAUGCAGCAACGCCGCGUGGAGGAUGACGCAUUUCGGUGUGUAAACUCCUUUUAUAUGUCAAGAAAAUGACGGUAGCAUAUGAAUAAGCACCGGCUAACUCCGU